rnacentral:tRNA from 1 species
GCGCCCGUAGUUCAACGGACAGAACACCAGAUUGCGGAUCUGGCGGUUGUGGGUUCAAUUCCCGCCGGGCGCG